AGUGACAGGAAACCAUGUGAGUUUAACUUUUAGAUAGGGGGUUCCACAUAGAUAUCACUAAGAAAUGACAUUUGUGCAAAUGCUGGGAGGCAAGCACACUAACUUCAAGUGACUCAAGCUGAAGUUGGAUAGUGAAUUGGUUAUCAUGUCAAUAGAAAAAUUAUCGAGAAUAUUACUGGAAAAUAAUCUCAUUAGAUGCUGGGGUGCUAUGUGAAUUCUUUGUGUAUACACAUAUCUUCUUCUGUAAUAUAAAGCUGUUAGUUCUAGAUCCUUAGCUGAACUAAAAAUACAAUCAUAUGCUUAUGUAUAGAAUCUAUAAUUUAAUACAUUUUCAUUUAAUUUAUCAUUGCUUCUUCUGGGCCAUGAAUUGGAGAAGGCUGUAGAAAUCAUAAAAAGUUCAAAGGACUCACAUUAAAAAUUUGAAAAUAGUAUUCACAGUGAAAUGUUGAGGGGAUUUAAAAUCAUUUGUAAUACUAUAUGUGGAUAUUUGUAUAUAAUGCAUCCACAUACAGAAGUACUUAUUCAUGCAUCUAGGUAUAUGUCAUUGAAUAUUUUAAUAUCACUUGCCAUGUAAUUUCUUGGCUAUAUACAAGCUGAGAGUUACACUGCAGUUGGCUAUGCCUGUGGUUAACUGAAGUUUCCACCUAUUAUUUCUGGACUUAAACUACAACAUGGUCAAUUUUCUGAUGAAAAACUAAUUGCAUUAGCCUGGCUGACCCUAUGGAUAUUCUAGAGGAAUGGCUUCCCAUUUAUUCCUCUAGAUUCGCUAGCUCUAUAUUAAGUCAAAACCACACACUGACCCAUGAAAACCCUGGAGAAAUGCCUUCCUGGAAAUAUGACCUAAAAAUCUACCCUUGGCAUAAGUAGCUUUAUAUACUGAAAGAGCAAUGAAAUAACUUUGCAAUUUUGCAAUCACAAACAUUUCCAACUCUUCAUUAAUGCAAAUACUAGUUCAUGCACUUAAGUUUCUAAACAUCUUCCUUCGUAGUAAGGGAUCAGAAAAUACAAAGUAAAAAGGUAAAAACAGAAAUAUAACAUUUGGACCAUUCUUUUCCUCACUCACAUGAAUUCAGGUAGUUGCUAUUCAAGGUAGUUGUCAAGGCUAGCCCCAAAUUAGAUUUAUAUCCAUCUAACUUGGGUGAGAGAUCAACAGAGGUAUUCAGUAAAAUUCUAUUUACUUUAUAUUAUACUCUGCUGAUGAAGGUCAGCUCUUAGAGACUAAACACUAGGAGUUACAAUACCUAAUACUUGGGUUAAUAGUGCCAAAGUAUUGGAAAUUCAAGUAAAAUAAUAUUUUGACUGUAAACCGUGGAUACCACGGAAUCUAAGUAACUCUGUUAAUCAUGUUUUUCCUUUCAAAUCUUUUCCUGUGGAUAAACUAGAAAGGGUAGUGUGAAGGGGAAAAGAACCAUCGAACUGAAGUUUUGUCCUUGGCUUUUCAUUGCUCAACUGGGAGAAAACAGCUACCAGAGAGGUCUGCAACCUUACUCUGCCAUAUCGUUCAGAAUGUCAGCCAUAGAUCACCUGUGACAAGUAUUUAAUUCUUUGUCUCACCAGGGACAAUGUGCAACCUUCUGCUGGAAGUGAGGUGUUUCAUUUCAUUUUAAAGCUGCCAACAAUAGUUGUCUUUUGGCCUUGCAGUAAGCUUUCUUUCGAUUUACUAUUCCCAACUUCUUCCUCUAAAAGCUGUAAAAAUAAUUCCCUUCCUACUGAUUUCCAUGGUAAAUCUUUUUCAAACAUCUCUAACAUCCAUGAUUCUUCUCUCAAUAACAGAACCUCUUCCUGUUUUCCCACAGAAGGCCCCACAGAGCAUUUCUGCCUUUGUGUUUGCCAGCUGAACAGAAUAAAACAUUAGGAUGCAAUGAUUAAAGACGCAGCUCAAGUGCAUUUUAGUUAUUGGGCUUCUGCUGAGAAGGAAAUAUAGAUUACAGAGAAUGUGGGUAAGCAAUUUUUAUAGGUGAUAUACUGAAAACACAAAUUGUAUCCUAGUAAUAGCUGAUAUGCACAGUAAUUAGAAGAUUCAUUCUGCCAAUUAGAAGAGAAUACAUGCAGACUCAAACAUUGCCUCGUGCCAUUUUCCACAUCAUUGACAACUCAGUAUGCCUCUGUACCUGGACCAUGACACAGUCACAAAGCAGUAAGGAUUAAAUCUCCAAUUCCUCCAAACGGUAACCAUCUUGAUUGAAUCUGAAAUACUACCAUAGUGUUUAUCAAAAAUCAGAAAUAUCUAAAGUAUUCUCAGUUUUAUUUCAUUUUACCUUAAUUAAAAGUAUGUGCUGUAUACUCUCUUAUUCAAGAUGGAUUAAAAACAUUUUAAAUAUGUGAAAGUAUAAUAAUCUAUAUCUACAUAUUUUAUUAUGUUAUGAAUUUGGUCUGUUGAGACUUAGAAAAAAUGCAGUCUCCCCUUCUCUCCUAAACAGGUUCUUACUAUUGCAGACACAAAAAACACAGAAAAGUGUUGCUUUUAAAUAGAAAAAAAAGGUAUAUAUAUAGGAACUAGAUAUAUUAAAAAUAAUUUGGUCUUAAAAACUGUAAAAUCUAUGUGGACCAUAAAAGGCAGACUAGAGAAACAUUUUUUAAUGUUCUCUAUAUAAGCUGUCUACACAAGGGAAAAAUAACAAUGUAUAUAAAAUAAAUAGUUUUUAGGUCACUGCAGCAAUUCAAAUUUAGAUAUUCGUCAACAUGAAUGAAGUCAAGUAUAUUCAAAUUUGUUUAGACAUUCAAAGUUAUUUUCAUCAGUUUAAUAAGGGGCUUUACCUCAAAUAUAAACUCAUUUGUAUAUGAACACAUGCAUAUGACUUAUUUUGGUCUUUCACAACAUGAGUUUUUUCAUAAUUACAUAUUUGAGAAAAUAAAUUUGGGAAACAGUUUUUUAACUUCAAUUUUUAUCUUUACUGGUUUAGAAAUACUGUUUCUUUAAUUUCUGUUCACUUUAUUUUUCCAUGUAUUCUAUUUAUUCCUUACAUACUGAAUUGCCUGUGGGCAUGUGGAAAGCUUCAGUAAACUGCAUAUAAUGAACUAGUUUGAAAUUUGCUAUAAUUCCAAUGACAGUCAUUUUCAAAUUUGCUUUCUCUGUUAAAAAAUUUGCAGGAAUUGUGAAGAGACAUUAUUUUCUAUCUGUUAAGCUCUGACUGCAUUCCUAACCCAACCAUGCCAUGCGUAAGAUAUAUGCUGGAAAAUAUUAUGGCAUUUGUAAUAAUGUUUUCAAGUGGAACAUACCCCUAUGGGAUAUAUUUUAUGUGUGCUAUAGAUAUCGGGAAGAAAAGCAUUCAGGGGGCAUGUUACUCAAAGUGAGGCUGUCGCAAGGUAAUAGAGUACUACAGUACUUGGGUAAAAUGAUACGGAUAGACUUAUUUCAUUUUCCAGAGGCACAUUUUAAACUGGCUUGCUCUUUAAGAGUCUGUAAAUUGUCUAAGCAGGGGAAAAAAGCAGCAAGCCUGAUAAAAUCAUAAAUAGCUUUUCCAUUAUUGCUGAAACUCUAAUUUUCUUGCUUAUUGCUUGAGUUGAUAAAACAAAUAAAAGAAGGAAUCUGAGAGAGAGAUUUCUUUAAUAUGCAAAAUGAAUUUCAAUGUACUCUCCUGCUGGUAUUUUUAUGGAAAAUCUGACUACAUGGUAUACAUGGAAUGUAGAAAUCUGCAUUUAGAUGGAAAUAUUAUAAAAUGCAUGGCAUGGUACAAAGUCAGUCUUUUAAUGGAGAUGGCAAAGUGCUCCAUUAUACGGUUGAGUGGAAAGACAGCAUGCAUAUAGGUUUCAUGUCUUCAGUAACCAAGUGCCUGGUUUGCCCAAAAGUGUACCACAUUAUUUUGAAUCUUUGACAAAUAUUGAUGAAGAAGAACAUACACCAGAUGGGUAGGCCCUUCUCCACAUGAAAAUUCUUGUGCUAUUCACAAGGUAUGCUUGCAAUAUAAAAUUUUUCUUAAUUUUUCCUCAAGUACUUCUGUGGAAUAGUGACGACUGAUUUUGUAGGAAGGUAUUUCAUUGCACUUACACAAACUUACUAGGAAAAAUGGGUGAUGCUUCAUGGCUUAGUUAAAACAAAAGAAGACAGAAAUUCCUUAUUCUCUUAUCACAACUGACUUUGGGGGUGACCUCAGGCUCUCUGGGACUCUGGUAUUCUAUCUCUAAAUGUAAAGACAAGAUUGCCUCAUGCCAACUAUUCCACAGAGCUAGAAAAAGUACUAAUGAGCUGACAUUUGUGUAGACUUUUAAAACAUCAUAUAAAAUUUCUUAAGCUGUUAGUAGAAUUCAGUGUUAUUAUCAAGCACUGGUAAGAACAGCUAUUACAUGAAUGAGAAAUGAAUUAGCCACAUAGAGAUGUAUAAAUUGUUGAAAUAAAGAUGACUGAUUAAAAUUAUUAUAAGCAGAAGAGAUCAUAAGGAUUUGAACUAUUUUAUAUGAAGUCUUUUUUAAUAUUACUAUACAAAUUAAUUAUAUCUAAUGAGUUCAUAACAAACAGAAAGAAAACACUAACACGAAUAUGGAUGGAUGAAAACUUGUACACCUCUACUCUCUGCAAAAACCUCACAUACAUAAAAAAAGGAUAAAAGACCGUAUAAUUCCACAAGAACACGGAUAACAGGAUGAGCUGAUAGUGACAAUAUUUGAAAAACUGGAAAGCAUAUAUACUAGUGAUAGCUGAUUAAGCAAAUCGAAGAAAGAUGAAACUUAGGUCUGGAAGCAAGGGGCUAAGCUGAAUGCCACCAGAAAAUCUCAAGCUCAAGAACUACUCCACUGAGGUGGGAGUCCAGGUGGUCCAGAAAUAGGACUGGCUGGAAAUCUAAUGUACCUUAGUGUUCAGAGCCCCUUCCUCAUAAGGCAUAGGUGUGGCAGCAGUAGAGGUGGGAGCUAAGGAACUGAAAUACAAAGUGUCCUGGAGGUGGGAGGUUUUUACUGAAAAGUGAGUAAGCACAAGCCUACAAGUGAAUUGCAUUUUUUUCAUAGCAAAAAUCCAGCAACUCUGAAACUGAAGCAUUAAGAAACCUAUUAUAAGGUUGUCAUUUGGAAACAUGGAGACAAUUAUCGGAAAGAAAGAAAAAAAAUAAUUAGGAGUUUCUAUCGUGGCUCAGGGGAAAUGAAUCUGAUUAGCAUCCAUGAGGACCCAGGUAAGAUCUCUGGUCUCAUUCAGUGGGUUAAGGAUCCAGCAUUGCCGUGAGCUGUGGUGUAGGUUGCAGACACGGCUCGGAUCCCGUCUUGCUGUGGUUAUGAUGUAGGCUGGCAUCUGUAGCUCUGAUUCAACCCCUAGCCUGGGAACCUCCAUAUGCCAUGGGUG
rnacentral:lncRNA from 1 species